CAGUCGCCACGGUAAUACGAAGGGGGCUAGCGUUGUUCGGAAUUACUGGGCGUAAAGGGCGCGUAGGCGGCCAUUCAAGUUAGAUGUGAAAGCCCUGGGCUCAACCUAGGAAUUGCAUUUGAUACUGUUUGGCUUGAGUUCGGGAGAGGUGACUGGAAUUCCCAGUGUAGAGGUGAAAUUCGUAGAUAUUGGGAAGAACACCAGUGGCGAAGGCGGCUCACUGGACCGACACUGACGCUGAGGCGCGAAAGCGUGGGGAGCAAACAGGAUUAGAUACCCCAGUAGUCCCUGUCUCUUAUCC
rnacentral:rRNA from 1 species